rnacentral:lncRNA from 1 species
GGCCGUCCUCCGCCUCCUCCUCCUCCUCUUCCUCCGCCUGCACCUCAGUCUCCUCCUCCCGCAGCUCCCCCGCCCCGCCCCAGCGCGGCCGGGCAGCCGAACGCCGCGGGGCGUUAUGUCCUUGCGCGGCCGCCGUAGCGCCCUCUGGGGCAGGGUGGCGGUCGCCGUAGCGACACGGCCUGGGUUGGGGGUGGCCUCGUUCCGUCCUGGCGGCGGGCGGGGCGCGAGGCGGUGGCGAAGGACAGCUCGGGCCAGCGGGGAUGAGCCAUGGCCUCCGUGAAGGUGGCCGUGCGAGUGCGGCCAAUGAACCGCAGGAGCGACUGCUGGGAGCGCUUUUCCUCCCUGGCAAGUUGGGAAGUGGCUCGCCGGUGGAGCGUAGAGGAACGGGGCUUUGCCUGGGAAGUUCACUCUGUCAUGGUCUGAAGCAUUGCUUGGUGUGGUCCUUCUGUAAUGACGGAAAAGUUACUCUGGUGAAGAUGGAAAACUUUGAGAGGAAGGACCUGCCAAGGAUAUAUAGCCAGGCUUCUAAAAUGUGAAAGAAACCUACUUCAUCUGAAAACAGCAGCCUUUUCUACCCGCGUGAGAGUGUUGUCUAGUUCAUUUAGAGCUAUUAAGGUUACAGGUUAUCAGCUUAAGCUCAAAGUAUAUAUAUAUAUAUAUAAAGCAGACAGUCUGCUGCAUUUACUGUAUGGACAGGAGUUCAUCACCCACUUCCUGAGGUGUGUCUGGGAAAUAAACACUGUUUUCUUUAAUGAAAUAUGUGCAUAAUAUGCAUGGUAGUUAAUGGUCUAAUGUAAGAACCAUAUGUGGAAAACGAUCCGAUUCUGCUGGCAGUGCUCUUCCUCUUCCCUUGUUCUGAAGAGAUGUAGCCAGUUCAAAAGAAAAGUGGUUUAAAGCACAGGCAGCCCAUCAGACUCUCACUGUUCCUCUCACUUGAUCUGAUUCAGGUGUUUAAAACACACGAUUUGCUAUGUUCUGAAAGUCACUCAGUAUCUUGUUUUCAGAGAGGGAAAGAC